GGGGUAACACUGACGUUCAUGCUCGAAAGCGUGGGUAGCAAACAGGAUUAGAUACCCUGGUAGUCCACGCCCUAAACGAUGUCAAUUAGCUGUUGGGCAACUUGAUUGCUUAGUAGCGUAGCUAACGCGUGAAAUUGACCGCCUGGGGAGUACGGUCGCAAGAUUAAAACUCAAAGGAAUUGACGGGGACCCGCACAAGCGGUGGAUGAUGUGGAUUAAUUCGAUGCAACGCGAAGAACCUUACCUGGUCUUGACAUGUACGGAAUCUUUCAGAGACGGAAGAGUGCCUUCGGGAACCGUAACACAGGUGCUGCAUGGCUGUCGUCAGCUCGUGUCGUGAGAUGUUGGGUUAAGUCCCGCAACGAGCGCAACCCUUGUCAUUAGUUGCCAUCAUUAAGUUGGGCACUCUAAUGAGACUGCCGGUGACAAACCGGAGGAAGGUGGGGAUGACGUCAAGUCCUCAUGGCCCUUAUGACCAGGGCUUCACACGUCAUACAAUGGUCGGUACAAAGGGUAGCCAAGCCGCGAGGUGGAGCCAAUCCCAGAAAACCGAUCGUAGUCCGGAUUGCACUCUGCAACUCGAGUGCAUGAAGUCGGAAUCGCUAGUAAUCGCAGGUCAGCAUACUGCGGUGAAUACGUUCCCGGGUCUUGUACACACCGCCCGUCACACCAUGGGAGUGGGGGAUACCAGAAGUAGAUAGGGUAACCGCAAGGAGCCCGUUUACCACGGUAUGUUUCAUGACUGGGGUGAAGUCGUAACAAGGUAGCCGUAGGGGAACCUGCGGCUGGAUCACCUCCUUU
rnacentral:rRNA from 1 species